UAGACUUGACAUACAGUGGGCAGGUACAAAGAUGUAUCCUUCCGAAAGGACCGCUGAAC
rnacentral:rRNA from 1 species